GGAAGAAGAGGGAUCUGGCUGGCUGGGCAGGUGGCCCUUUCCUCCCUCACUGCUCCAUGCAUGUCCCUCCUGAAGCUGUGCUCUCAGUCGCUCAGUUGAAGAAGGUAGCCUUCCCGAAUAAAGUCGGACUAGUUGGUCUUUGGUCGAGGGGGUAUACAAGGAGCUGCACUCCCCUGCUAGAACCUCCAAACAAGCUCUCAAGGAAGAAGAGGGAGGGAGGUGUGGCAUCAGAUGAAAGGAUGGCAAUGUAUUGCCUU
rnacentral:snRNA from 1 species